rnacentral:rRNA from 1 species
CUAGCUUACGUGGAGGCGCUGGUGGGAUACUACCCUAGCUGUGUUGGCUUUCUAACCCGCACCACUUAUCGUGGUGGGAGACAGUGUCAGGCGGGCAGUUUGACUGGGGCGGUCGCCUCCUAAAAGGGAACGGAGGCGCUCAAAGGUUCCCUCAGAAUGGUUGGAAAUCAUUCAUAGAGUGUAAAGGCAUAAGGGAGCUUGACUGCGAGACCUACAAGUCGAGCAGGG